UACAGGGGGUGCAAACGUUGCUCGGAAUCAUUGGGCGUAAAGCGCACGUAGGCGGUUCGUUAUGUCGGAUGUGAAAGCCCUUGGCUUAACCGAGGAAGUGCAUCCGAAACUGGCGAGCUAGAGUACGAAAGAGGAUCGCGGAAUUCCCGGUGUAGAGGUGAAAUUCGUAGAUAUCGGGAGGAACACCAGAGGCGAAGGCGGCGACCUGGAAGGUGACUGACACUGAGCAGCGAAAGCGUGGGUAGCAAACAGG
rnacentral:rRNA from 1 species